AACGUAGGAAGCGAGCGUUAUCCGGAUUUACUGGGUGUAAAGCGCGUGCAGGCGGUUGGUUAAGUUGGGGGUGAAAGCUCCUGGCUCAACUGGGAGAGGUCGCUCAAGACUGGCCAACUGGAGAGCAGUAGGGGAAGGUGGAAUUCCGGGUGUAGUGGUGAAAUGCGUAGAUAUCCGGAGGAACACCAGUGGCGAAAGCGGCCUUCUGGACUGCAUCUGACGCUCAGACGCGAAAGCUAGGGGAGCAAACGGG
rnacentral:rRNA from 1 species